rnacentral:rRNA from 1 species
AACGAACGCUGGCGGCAUGCCUAACACAUGCAAGUCGAACGAGACCUUCGGGUCUAGUGGCGCACGGGUGCGUAACGCGUGGGAAUCUGCCCUUGGGUUCGGGAUAACAGUUGGAAACGACUGCUAAUACCGGAUGAUGACUUCGGUCCAAAGAUUUAUCGCCCAGGGAUGAGCCCGCGUCGGAUUAGCUAGUUGGUGAGGUAGGAGCUCACCAAGGCGACGAUCCGUAGCUGGUCUGAGAGGAUGAUCAGCCACACUGGGACUGAGACACGGCCCAGACUCCUACGGGAAGCAGCAGUGGGGAAUAUUGGACAAUGGGCGAAAGCCUGAUCCAGCAAUGCCGCGUGAGUGAUGAAGGCCUUAGGGUUGUAAAGCUCUUUUACCCGGGAUGAUAAUGACAGUACCGGGAGAAUAAGCCCCGGCUAACUCCGUG